rnacentral:rRNA from 1 species
GAUGAACGCUGGCGGCGUGCUUAACACAUGCAAGUCGAACGGUGAACCCGGAGCUUGCUCUGUGGGAUCAGUGGCGAACGGGUGAGUAACACGUGAGCAACCUGCCCCUGACUCUGGGAUAAGCGAUGGAAACGGCGUCUAAUACUGGAUAUGUGACGUGACCGCAUGGUCUGCGUUUGGAAAGAUUUUUCGGUUGGGGAUGGGCUCGCGGCCUAUCAGCUUGUUGGUGAGGUAAUGGCUCACCAAGGCGUCGACGGGUAGCCGGCCUGAGAGGGUGACCGGCCACACUGGGACUGAGACACGGCCCAGACUCCUACGGGAGGCAGCAGUGGGGAAUAUUGCACAAUGGGCGCAAGCCUGAUGCAGCAACGCCGCGUGAGGGAUGACGGCCUUCGGGUUGUAAACCUCUUUUAGCAGGGAAGAAGCGAAAGUGACGGUACCUGCAGAAAAAGCGCCGGCUAACUACGUG